UUCAUUCAAUUUCCUUUUCAAAGAAAUCCUUUUCCAAUUCAAAUCUGAACUCCGUCUUUUCUCUCUCUCACACACGCACACACAUCUUUUGCAUCCUGUAAAUUUCCCAAAAGCCCUAGUUUUCUUUCUUUUCCAAUAUUAUUUAUAAAUUUAAAAUCUUUCUGUUAGAUCUCUUAUAGCUAUUCCCAUUAUUUUUUUCAAUUUUUAUUGAACACAUAGCAUUAAUCCCAAGGAAAUGAAAAGACGAUCCAAUUCUUUGAAUUCCGUGAAAAAUCUUCAUAAUUCCCCUCAAUUGCCUCUCAAAUUUUGAUAGUUUUGUGACUUCCCAAAAAAAGAAAGAAUUUUUAUGGUUUUGUGUGUAUAAGUUUCUUCUGCCUGUGUAUUUGCUGACAAGAAAGCUAUUUGAAUGAUACACAAUUGAAAUCAGAUAGUGAUUUGGGUUUUUCUUAAGAGGAAGAAAUAGAGAUUAGAAAGGAGUAAUGUCUGGUUCGAAAAUGGAGGGGUCAUCGGCUCCGGCGAUAAGGCGAGACCCGUAUGAGGUAUUGUCUGUGACAAGGGAUUCAUCUGAUCAGGAGAUUAAAAGUGCUUACAGAAAGCUUGCUCUCAAGUAUCAUCCGGACAAGAAUGCUAACAAUCCUGAAGCUUCAGAAUUAUUCAAGGAGGUGGCAUACUCAUACAGUGUUCUAUCUGAUCCAGAAAAAAGGAGGCAAUAUGAUAUGGCAGGUUUUGAGGUAUUUUGUUCCUCGUCCGCUGUCAAGUACAUAAUUUUCUUGCAAGGUGGUUUAUCACUAGAGUUAUGACUUUUGAAGUAAACGUCAAUUUUUAUAUGUUUUGAGUUACUGUGAUCGCUAUUGGUAAAGUUAGAAACUCGGCAGUGGUUGCUUCCCCNUGAAGAAGCUUUGAAUGGAACUGUCACAAUUCGUCCUCUUCCAAUUGGGACAUCACUUAGCGGAAAGGUUGAAAAGCAAAGUGCCCAUUUUUUUGGUGUAACGAUUAGCAGUGAACAAGCGGAGGCAGGGCUUGUAGUUAGAGUUACUUCAGCAGCUCAAAGCAAAUUUAAGCUGCUCUAUUUUGAACAAGAUGCAAAUGGGGGUUAUGGCCUGGCUUUGCAGGAAGAUAGUGAGAAAACGGGUAAAGUGACGUCAGCAGGAAUGUAUUUCUUGCACUUUCAGGUGUAUAGAAUGGAUUCAACUGUAAAUGCGUUAGCGAUGGCUAAGGACCCUGAAGCUGCUUUCUUUAAGAAGCUGGAGGGACUUCAACCUUGUGAGGUCUCAGAACUUAAAGCUGGCACUCACAUAUUCGCUGUUUAUGGAGAUAAUUUCUUCAAGCCUGCUACUUAUACAAUUGAGGCUCUCUGUGCCAAGUCAUAUGAGGAUACUACUCUGAAGCUCAAGGAUAUUGAGGCUCAUAUUUUGAGGAAACGAAAUGAGCUUCGGCAGUUUGAAGUAGAAUAUAGAAAGGCACUGGCACAUUUCCAGGAAGUGACCAACAGAUACAGCCAAGAGAAGCAGUCUGUCGAUGAGAUGCUGAAACAAAGAGACAGCAUCCACUCUUCGUUCACAGUUGCAAGGUCCGUUGCUAAUUUAAGUGGCAGUGGGAGUGGGCAUUUCAGUAACGGAAGUAGCAGUAAGGUCCUUGGUGAAGAUUAUAAAGCCGAUAGUCCAGGGGAAGAUGGCAGUUCAGAUUCCAAGGACAAGUCAUCAAAGAAAAGAUGGUUCAACCUUAACCUCAAAGGGUCUGAUAAAAAGAACUGAAACGUUGGAUGGUUAUUUAUGUUCUCUACCUACUUCCUGCGGAGUUUCGAGUUC